ensembl:lncRNA
GGCUGGGUAGUAAAGCAGAGUCACUUCCUGCUUGUGGGGCGAGGGAUGUUUCCAUGGUGAUGCUAGGGCACAUCUGCAUAGAGAUUUGGCUGCAGCAAACGUCGAGGUUCUCAGCACACCAACUGAGUCUGAUUCAUCCAGCUCUGGGAUCCAGCAAGCCGUGGCAUCCUUUGCUAACCUGAGCCAUCAGCCUCGCUGCUCCUGCCUGUUCUGUCUGGGCCUCAAGCUGGAGUCAGAUCUGGAACCCAGGCCUCCUGGCAACCAGGAGCGCUCAGGACGUCAGCUCCCGCCUCGCUCCCCUUCCUUGCCCUCUGUGACCCCAUCUCUGUUCUCCCAGUGGCUCAGGGCUCCCCACCCCCGUGGUCAAUGAUUCUUUCUUCUGUCGCCUGAAAAACAACUUGUAAAUGUGUAAAUUUACGUCAAAGUGUGUAUUUGUACAUAAAUUAAAAGAUUUUUCUAGAAAAAAAUGAGCACAUGUUUUUAUCUGAACAGGAUUACCUAGAGAGGUUGCAGGAUUUCUUUCCCAAAAG